UGCUAGUUUUCAUCUUUAUUUCUGCGUCAUGGUACUAUGGGUGUUGCCUCAAUGUUUACCAUUUCAUGGUGAACAUUUCUGAGAAAAAGUGAUAACGGCUGCUAAUGAUAAGGAAAGAGAGAUGAAAACUAGGAAAACUUGUAGCCGAUUAUUUUGUUUUUUCACCCCCCAUUUUCUGAGGUGGAUCGACUGCAGUACUGCUGCAGCCUCUUCUUCUUCUUCUUCGUCUUCUUAUUUCGUUCAGCUGAUUGUUUCUCUGAAAUCAAGCUGCACUGUUUUCGUGUAGUU
rnacentral:lncRNA from 1 species